CCUGGCUCAGGACGAACGCUGGCGGCGCGCCUAACACAUGCAAGUCGAACGAGCGAGAGAGAGCUUGCUUUCUCAAGCGAGUGGCGAACGGGUGAGUAACGCGUGAGGAACCUGCCUCAAAGAGGGGGACAACAGUUGGAAACGACUGCUAAUACCGCAUAAGCCCACGGGUCGGCAUCGACCAGAGGGAAAAGGAGCAAUCCGCUUUGAGAUGGCCUCGCGUCCGAUUAGCUAGUUGGUGAGGUAACGGCCCACCAAGGCAACGAUCGGUAGCCGGACUGAGAGGUUGAACGGCCACAUUGGGACUGAGACACGGCCCAGACUCCUACGGGAGGCAGCAGUGGGGAAUAUUGCACAAUGGGGGAAACCCUGAUGCAGCGACGCCGCGUGGAGGAAGAAGGUCUUCGGAUUGUAAACUCCUGUUGUUGAGGAAGAUAAUGACGGUACUCAACAAGGAAGUGACGGCUAACUACGUGCCAGCAGCCGCGGUAAAACGUAGGUCACAAGCGUUGUCCGGAAUUACUGGGUGUAAAGGGAGCGCAGGCGGGAAGACAAGUUGGAAGUGAAAUCUAUGGGCUCAACCCAUAAACUGCUUUCAAAACUGUUUUUCUUGAGUAGUGCAGAGGUAGGCGGAAUUCCCGGUGUAGCGGUGGAAUGCGUAGAUAUCGGGAGGAACACCAGUGGCGAAGGCGGCCUACUGGGCACAACUGACGCUGAGGCUCGAAAGUGUGGGUAGCAAACAGGAUUAGAUACCCUGGUAGUCCACACCGUAAACGAUGAUUACUAGGUGUUGGAGGAUUGACCCCUUCAGUGCCGCAGUUAACACAAUAAGUAAUCCACCUGGGGAGUACGACCGCAAGGUCGAAACUCAAAGGAAUUGACGGGGGCCCGCACAAGCAGUGGAGCAUGUGGUUUAAUUCGACGCAACGCGAAGAACCUUACCAAGUCUUGACAUCCCUUGACGAACAUAGAAAUAUGUUUUCUCUUCGGAGCAAGGAGACAGGUGGUGCAUGGUUGUCGUCAGCUCGUGUCGUGAGAUGUUGGGUUAAGUCCCGCAACGAGCGCAACCCUUACUGUCAGUUACUACGCAAGAGGACUCUGGCAGGACUGCCGUUGACAAAACGGAGGAAGGUGGGGAUGACGUCAAAUCAUCAUGCCCUUUAUGACUUGGGCUACACACGUACUACAAUGGCGUUAAACAAAGAGAAGCAAGACCGCGAGGUGGAGCAAAACUCAGAAACAACGUCCCAGUUCGGACUGCAGGCUGCAACUCGCCUGCACGAAGUCGGAAUUGCUAGUAAUCGUGGAUCAGCAUGCCACGGUGAAUACGUUCCCGGGCCUUGUACACACCGCC
rnacentral:rRNA from 1 species